rnacentral:rRNA from 1 species
UGGGGAAUCUUGGACAAUGGGCGAAAGCCUGAUCCAGCCAUGCCGCGUGAGUGAAGAAGGCCUUAGGGUUGUAAAGCUCUUUUGGCAGGGACGAUAAUGACGGUACCUGCAGAAUAAGCCCCGGCAAACUUCGUGCCAGCAGCCGCGGUAAUACGAAGGGGGCUAGCGUUGUUCGGAAUUACUGGGCGUAAAGCGCACGUAGGCGGGUUGUUAAGUCAGGGGUGAAAUCCUGGAGCUCAACUCCAGAACUGCCUUUGAUACUGGCAACCUAGAGACUGGAAGAGGUUAGUGGAAUUCCCAGUGUAGAGGUGAAAUUCGUAGAUAUUGGGAAGAACACCAGUGGCGAAGGCGGCUAACUGGUCCAGCACUGACGCUGAGGUGCGAAAGCGUGGGGAGCAAAC